rnacentral:rRNA from 1 species
GUAACAGAUCUAGCUUGCUAGAUGCUGACGAGCGGCGGACGGGUGAGUAAUGCAUAGGAAUCUGCCCGGUAGUGGGGGAUAACCUGGGGAAACCCAGGCUAAUACCGCAUACGUCCUACGGGAGAAAGGGGGCUUCGGCUCCCGCUAUUGGAUGAGCCUAUGUCGGAUUAGCUAGUUGGUGAGGUAAAGGCUCACCAAGGCAACGAUCCGUAGCUGGUCUGAGAGGAUGAUCAGCCACAUCGGGACUGAGACACGGCCCGAACUCCUACGGGAGGCAGCAGUGGGGAAUAUUGGACAAUGGGGGCAACCCUGAUCCAGCCAUGCCGCGUGUGUGAAGAAGGCCCUCGGGUUGUAAAGCACUUUCAGCGAGGAAGAACGCCUAGCGGUUAAUACCCGUUAGGAAAGACAUCACUCGCAGAAGAAGCACCGGCUAACUCCGUGCCAGCAGCCGCGGUAAUACGGAGGGUGCAAGCGUUAAUCGGAAUUACUGGGCGUAAAGCGCGCGUAGGUGGCUUGAUAAGCCGGUUGUGAAAGCCCCGGGCUCAACCUGGGAACGGCAUCCGGAACUGUCAGGCUAGAGUGCAGGAGAGGAAGGUAGAAUUCCCGGUGUAGCGGUGAAAUGCGUAGAGAUCGGGAGGAAUACCAGUGGCGAAGGCGGCCUUCUGGACUGACACUGACACUGAGGUGCGAAAGCGUGGGUAGCAAACAGGAUUAGAUACCCUGGUAGUCCACGCCGUAAACGAUGUCGACCAGCCGUUGGGUGCCUAGAGCACUUUGUGGCGAAGUUAACGCGAUAAGUC